rnacentral:lncRNA from 1 species
AUGAUAAGUGAUUAUAUAUGUUAGUAUUCAAAUGUGAAAGUGUAUGGAGAUAUGUAUACAGUUUUAAAUGGUUUCAUAUGGAUAUAAAGGCUUUCAAAGGUAUGAAAGAGAGUUCCAAGGAGGAACUGCUCAGUGAAAGUUUCAAGUGUUGUUAGUAUGAAUGCAGGAGCUCAGUAUUGGGGAUUAUCCUGACACUCUAAUGGUCAUACAUUCUCAAAUAGAGAAGUUUGACACAUGUGGUGAGAGUAGCAGGAGGUCUGAGCCUGAGG